CAUUCUUUCACUGGAUGCUAUUGCACUGUUCUCUGUGGUCAGCCACCACCCUGAGCAAGACAAGCAAACAGGAAAUUCCUCUCCAGGCUUAGGGGAUAGCGUGGGGGAACUCCUGAGCAGGCUGGGCUGAGGAAUGAAUGCCUUGCUAAGGGUGGACCCUUGGGCUUGGAGCCAGCAGUACAAUAGCUGUCUGGCCGUCUCCUGUGGGCAGAAUCCAGCCUCUGCCCCCACUCCCAGAGAGACCCAACUCCCUCCAAAAGGCUAUGGACUCCUGAGCCCCCUUGCAGGAGAGGCAGUGUGGGUUCAGGCUCCCUGACCCCCGCCCUGUCCCUGCCCGGUACUUUGUCAGAGACUCGGGGUCCCGCCGUGCCGAGAGUGUAUUUCUGAGCUCUUCCAUGCAUAUAGUGUUCCUUGGUUCCCUAUCCUCGUCCCACUGAGAAUGUCCAGUAGCCCCUCUGGGAGUCGGGGUGCAGUUCUCGGGAACCCUCCCACACAGAGAGGGAGCAAGGCGAGGCUCACAAGAGAUGGACCUGCUUUUUACUGAGCGCUUGGCCCUGACAGGCUCUCCACCUGUAAAACCACAGUGUCCCUACCUCCUCAAGCACCUGGCACCUAGGAGUGGCUCUGGGAGGGUGGGGCUGCCCCUCACUGCUGCCUGG
rnacentral:lncRNA from 1 species